rnacentral:rRNA from 1 species
GGNNCGAGNRUCUGAACCAGCCAAGUAGCGUGAAGGAUGACUGCCCUAUGGGUUGUAAACUUCUUUUAUACGGGAAUAAAGUGAGGCACGUGUGCCUUUUUGUAUGUACCGUAUGAAUAAGGAUCGGCUAACUCCGUGCCAGCAGCCGCGGUAAUACGGAGGAUCCRARMNNNAUCCGGAUUUAUUGGGUUUAAAGGGAGCGUAGGCGGACGCUUAAGUCAGUUGUGAAAGUUUGCGGCUCAACCGUAAAAUUGCAGUUGAUACUGGGUGUCUUGAGUACAGUAGAGGCAGGCGGAAUUCGUGGUGUAGCGGUGAAAUGCUUAGAUAUCACGAAGAACUCC